AUGAUCGUAAUGAGACCUAGCCUCAAACAGCAUGUAGGGUUGUUACCGGAUGAUGUUUCCCGGGGCCCGAAGCUAUCUAAAUCCUUGUCUUGUGUUGCGUCUCUCGAUUCCGCUCAACCCCUCUCAAGCUACCACAUAGAUGCGUUGGCCUCGCGACUAAGUCCUGACACUAAGGACAUCUGCCAUGACAAUUCCACGACAGUUGGCGCCCACCGUGGGGCUCGCGCACGGUGGUGUUUAGUUUUUGGAGGAUUUCUUUCAGGGAUCGAGAAGCUCGCAAUUGAUGAGAUGAAAGAAGCCAGCAUGGAACAACCGUGUGAGCCAUCGGACAACUAUGGACAGAGCCGGCAAAUUUAUAGUUGGGAAAUCAGAAUUAUGAUUAAACCUUGGAGCAGCAGGUACAAGAUUGUGAUUAAGAAAUUUUUUGGUUUACGCGUUACGCGAUCGCCGCACGCACCAUGGAGAUCCGCCGAGUCCGAGUCGAAAGAAACUUGCACUGCACUGGUACAAGUCCCAAGGAAAUUCCACAGCGGUGAGGGCAGGCAACAUCAAAAGCGUUUUCAUCGAUGUUAUUUUUAUGGAAAGACGAGGUUGAACCGUCAGACCAGAGGGAAGUACUAG
rnacentral:rRNA from 1 species